rnacentral:rRNA from 1 species
GUUAACGAGGCGAACCGGGGGAACUGAAACAUCUAAGUACCCCGAGGAAAAGAAAUCAACCGAGAUUCCCCCAGUAGCGGCGAGCGAACGGGGAGCAGCCCAGAGUCUGAAUCAGCUUGUGUGUUAGUGGAACGGUCUGGAAAGUCCGACGGUACAGGGUGAUAGUCCCGUACACCAAAAUGCACAGGCUGUGAACUCGAAGAGUAGGGCGGGACACGUGGUAUCCUGUCUGAAUAUGGGGGGACCAUCCUCCAAGGCUAAAUACUCCUGACUGACCGAUAGUGAACCAGUACCGUGAGGGAAAGGCGAAAAGAACCCCGGCGAGGGGAGUGAAAAAGAACCUGAAACCGUGUACGUACAAGCAGUGGGAGCACCUUCGGGUGUGACUGCGUACCUUUUGUAUAAUGGGUCAGCGACUUAUAUUCUGUAGCAAGGUUAACCGUAUAGGGGAGCCGCAGGGAAACCGAGUCUUAACUGGGCGUUAAGUUGCAGGGUAUAGACCCGAAACCCGGUGAUCUAGCCAUGGGCAGGUUGAAGGUUGGGUAACACUAACUGGAGGACCGAACCGACUAAUGUUGAAAAAUUAGCGGAUGACUUGUGGCUGGGGGUGAAAGGCCAAUCAAACCGGGAGAUAGCUGGUUCUCCCCGAAAGCUAUUUAGGUAGCGCCUCGUGAACUCAUCUUCGGGGGUAGAGCACUGUUUCGGCUAGGGGGUCAUCCCGACUUACCAACCCGAUGCAAACUACGAAUACCGAAGAAUGUUAUCACGGGAGACACACGGCGGGUGCUAACGUCCGUCGUGAAGAGGGAAACAACCCAGACCGCCAGCUAAGGUCCCAAAGUCAUGGUUAAGUGGGAAACGAUGUGGGAAGGCACAGACAGCCAGGAUGUUGGCUUAGAAGCAGCCAUCAUUUAAAGAAAGCGUAAUAGCUCACUGGUCGAGUCGGCCUGCGCGGAAGAUGUAACGGGGCUAAACCAUGCACCGAAGCUGCGGCAGCGACACUAUGUGUUGUUGGGUAGGGGAGCGUUCUGUAAGCCUGCGAAGGUGACCUGUGAGGGUUGCUGGAGGUAUCAGAAGUGCGAAUGCUGACAUAAGUAACGAUAAAGCGGGUGAAAAGCCCGCUCGCCGGAAGACCAAGGGUUCCUGUCCAACGUUAAUCGGGGCAGGGUGAGUCGACCCCUAAGGCGAGGCCGAAAGGCGUAGUCGAUGGGAAACAGGUUAAUAUUCCUGUACUUGGUGUUACUGCGAAGGGGGGACGGAGAAGGCUAUGUUAGCCGGGCGACGGUUGUCCCGGUUUAAGCAUGUAGGCUGGUUAUCCAGGCAAAUCCGGAUAAUCAAGGCUGAGGUGUGAUGACGAGGCACUACGGUGCUGAAGUAACAAAUGCCCUGCUUCCAGGAAAAGCCUCUAAGCAUCAGGUAACAUCAAAUCGUACCCCAAACCGACACAGGUGGUCAGGUAGAGAAUACCAAGGCGCUUGAGAGAACUCGGGUGAAGGAACUAGGCAAAAUGGUGCCGUAACUUCGGGAGAAGGCACGCUGGUGUGUAGGUGAAGCCCCUGCGGGUGGAGCUGAGACCAGUCGAAGAUACCAGCUGGCUGCAACUGUUUAUUAAAAACACAGCACUGUGCAAACACGAAAGUGGACGUAUACGGUGUGACGCCUGCCCGGUGCCGGAAGGUUAAUUGAUGGGGUUAUCCGUAAGGAGAAGCUCUUGAUCGAAGCCCCGGUAAACGGCGGCCGUAACUAUAACGGUCCUAAGGUAGCGAAAUUCCUUGUCGGGUAAGUUCCGACCUGCACGAAUGGCGUAAUGAUGGCCAGGCUGUCUCCACCCGAGACUCAGUGAAAUUGAACUCGCUGUGAAGAUGCAGUGUACCCGCGGCAAGACGGAAAGACCCCGUGAACCUUUACUAUAGCUUGACACUGAACAUUGAGCCUUGAUGUGUAGGAUAGGUGGGAGGCUUUGAAGCGUGGACGCCAGUCUGCGUGGAGCCAACCUUGAAAUACCACCCUUUAAUGUUUGAUGUUCUAACGUUGGCCCCUUAUCGGGGUUGCGGACAGUGUCUGGUGGGUAGUUUGACUGGGGCGGUCUCCUCCCAAAGCGUAACGGAGGAGCACGAAGGUUAGCUAAUCCUGGUCGGACAUCAGGAGGUUAGUGCAAUGGCAUAAGCUAGCUUGACUGCGAGCGUGACGGCGCGAGCAGGUGCGAAAGCAGGUCAUAGUGAUCCGGUGGUUCUGAAUGGAAGGGCCAUCGCUCAACGGAUAAAAGGUACUCCGGGGAUAACAGGCUGAUACCGCCCAAGAGUUCAUAUCGACGGCGGUGUUUGGCACCUCGAUGUCGGCUCAUCACAUCCUGGGGCUGAAGUAGGUCCCAAGGGUAUGGCUGUUCGCCAUUUAAAGUGGUACGCGAGCUGGGUUUAGAACGUCGUGAGACAGUUCGGUCCCUAUCUGCCGUGGGCGCUGGAGAAUUGAGGGGGGCUGCUCCUAGUACGAGAGGACCGGAGUGGACGCAUCACUGGUGUUCGGGUUGUCAUGCCAAUGGCACUGCCCGGUAGCUAAAUGCGGAAGAGAUAAGUGCUGAAAGCAUCUAAGCACGAAACUUGCCCCGAGAUGAGUUCUCCCUGAGACUUUAAGUCUCCUGAAGGAACGUU